CCUGAAACUAGUAGUUCAUACUGAAAAUAAUCUCAAACGAGUAAGCAGUACUAAUGCACAAUCACGAGAGCUUAAGCAUUCAUUUCAAUUGACAACUUCAAAAUAACAACACAAAUCGAUGGAACUUGAAUCCAACAACUAUUUCACUUCAACUGAAAGCUGCAUCAGGAAUGUUCAGAAGUAUACCUGGAGAAGAAAUACACCAGUGAAUAAUAGAAGGAGAAUAGAUCAGUCGAGCAAUGCAACAGCAAAUCUACAGCAGUAAGAACGAUCAGUUAAACCAAUAAUGAAGCCACACAACCCAGGAAGAGAUCUCACAAACCAGGAGAAAUUUAAACCCAAACAGUACCACAAAUCAAAUUCAAAUAGUCGUAAAACCAACCAGAAAAUUCCAGCAAUAAACUAUGUCUCGGAAUCCAACAGUAACUAUUAGAAACAACCAUAAAAUACUCAAAAGGACUUGAGCUUAAACUAAGAUUUCAAUGGAGCAGUAACUGCCAUUUUAGAUUUUUUUUAAUUAUGUCUUUCUUUUAUUUUUUUUUUGGUUUUCUGAAAUGAAGAUCGUCUUCUUCAAAUUAAAAGAAUGCAAAAGUGUUUAAUGAGCUCAAAAUGGCUGAAAAAUGGAACCCCCUUCCCCAAGGCAAAUGCUUCACUACUUAUAGGUGAACUAAGUUUUCAAAAUUACCUCUUAGGUCCCUCCCUAUUAUUAUUUUUUACCCCCCAACUUUUGCCUUGUUUACCAAGUAAUUACCACUAUUUUUCAGAAAACUAUCUAGAAGUCCCCAUCUAGAAGGUUCUGGUAUUGUCCCCAACCCUUCUAUACUACCAAUUACCCACAGUACCCUUAAAAUCAUUCAAAUUUACUAACUAAUCCAAUUUCCCUUUUCCCCGAUUAACCAACGGAUUAACUAACAAAUUCUAUUAACCCAAACAAUCAAAAAGCUAAAGGCUACUGCCAUGAGGUGAACCAAAAUCAAGCCACUCGAUUAAUUAAAUCCGAAACACCAUUAACUAUUCUAAUCAUCAAGGGAAAGAUACGAGGAAAAAAAACUAAAAUAAUGAUAAAAUCGGCAAAGAACCAAACAAAAAUCAAAAUUAAGAAACUGAGCCCUAAAAUUCACACAUGCAGAAAAACAGAGAACGAGAAAGUAAUAAAUUUAUUUUUAAAAAAGAAUGCAAACAAGAACUGAGUGAUAACAAAAGAACUCCAAUCAGUCCACCACUUUCCAGUUUGACCAUUUUCGACGGCCAUUGAACGCUAAAACUGUUGAAUUUCUCAUCAGGACACCCUAACGAACAUCUAGUAUCAAUUUGGGACGAAUUGGGCCUACUAGGGUUUUGGCAGGAAAACUUGAAAUAGAUAUUCAAGCCGUUCUGGUCAUAUUCGAACCAAGUGGCUAUGGGGGAUGGGUAGAGGAGAUCAAGGCUGUCCCAUGGUAUUAAUUUGGGACCAUUUGGCGUAACAUGCAUCGUCACCGACAUAUCUUCUGAUGAUUAUUCGACGAGACAAAAGAGGAUUAGAGGGAAACCAUUUUGAUAUUUGGAAUGAGGAAGAGAAAGAGAAUAUGGGGUGCUAUUUUGGUGGUCGAUGGAGCAGGUUGUGUUCGCCGGCGGCAAAAUUUUCGGCGAGUUUUGUUACUGGUACGAGGAAGAUGAUAAGGUACAAGGAGAAGGUUGAUUUUGUCUCUAAGGCUUGAACUGAGCUUAUUACAUUUUUAUGUAAUUAUCCCA
rnacentral:lncRNA from 1 species